AUUUAUGAAAUACUAACUGUUUUUCCUUUUGUAUGUGCAGGUUGCAAGAAUUAUUAUAUGAAUACUGACCUACUCUAUAAAAUUUAACAGCUACAUAUGACCGAGAUAUGCUGAGCUGAGAUUUUGCAGAAGUGACGCUUUUUCAAGUUUUCAAAUUUAGUA
rnacentral:sRNA from 1 species